GUACACACAACCAUCCUGUGUAACAGAGAGGUUCUCUUGCUAAGUUCCUCCUGGUUUUUACAGCUGUGAAAACAGACAUCUGAUUUCUGCAGUCAUGACCAAGCUGAUGAGUCUCACUGUUCUUGCAGUUUUGCUGCUUGCCUGUAUGAAACCGAGUAUCGGAAUUCCACCGUCACAGGGUCCCAUCAUUGAGAGACUGUGCUGGACCAGUUGGUACGAUCGGGACAAUCCAGGUGGAACAGGUGACUGGGAGGAU